rnacentral:rRNA from 1 species
GACGGAGGAUGCAAGCGUUAUCCGGAAUUAUUGGGCGUAAAGCGUCCGCAGGUGGACAUACAAGUCUGCUGUCAAAGUGCAGAGCUUAACUCUGUAAAGGCGGUGGAAACUGUAGGUCUUGAGUAUGGUAGGGGUAGAGGGAAUUCCCGGUGUAGCGGUGAAAUGCGUAGAUAUCGGGAAGAACACCAGUGGCGAAAGCGCUCUACUGGACCGCAACUGACACUCAGGGACGAAAGCUAGGGGAGCGAAUGGG